GAGGGUAUAGCUCAGUGGUAGAAUGUGUGCUUAGCAUGCACAAGGUCCUGCGUUUAAUCCCCAGUACCUCCA
rnacentral:tRNA from 1 species